UACGUAGGUGGCAAGCGUUGUCCGGAUUUACUGGGCGUAAAGAGCGCGCAGGCGGUCGCUCAAGUCGCGUGUGAAAGCCCCCGGCUCAACUGGGGAGGGUCACGCGAUACUGAUCGACUGGAAGGCAGGAGAGGGUAGUGGAAUUCCCGGUGUAGUGGUGAAAUGCGUAGAUAUCGGGAGGAACACCAAUGGCGAAGGCAGCUCGCUGGGACGUUACUGACGCUGAGACGCGAAAGCGUGGGGAGCAAACAGG
rnacentral:rRNA from 1 species